UGACCUAGCUCAGUCGGUAGAGCAUGAGACUCUUAAUCUCAGGGUUGUGGGUUUGAGCCCCACACUGGACAA
rnacentral:tRNA from 1 species